rnacentral:rRNA from 1 species
CUCCGUUGGUGAACCAGCGGAGGGAUCAUUACCGAGUUUACAACUCCCAAACCCAAUGUGAACGUUACCAAACUGUUGCCUCGGCGGGAUCUCUGCCCCGGGUGCGUCGCAGCCCCGGACCAAGGCGCCCGCCGGAGGACCAACCAAAACUCUUUUGUAUACCCCCUCGCGGGUUUUUAUAUCUGAGCCAUCUCGGCGCCUCUCGUAGGCGUUUCGAAAAUGAAUCAAAACUUUCAACAACGGAUCUCUUGGUUCUGGCAUCGAUGAAGAACGCAGCGAAAUGCGAUAAGUAAUGUGAAUUGCAGAAUUCAGUGAAUCAUCGAAUCUUUGAACGCACAUUGCGCCCGCCAGUAUUCUGGCGGGCAUGCCUGUCCGAGCGUCAUUUCAACCCUCGAACCCCUCCGGGGGGUCGGCGUUGGGGAUCGGCCCUUUACGGGGCCGGCCCCGAAAUACAGUGGCGGUCUCGCCGCAGCCUCUCCUGCGCAGUAGUUUGCACACUCGCAUCGGGAGCGCGGCGCGUCCAUUGCCGUAAAACACCCAACUUUCUGAAAUGUUGACCUCGGAUCAGGUAGGAAUACCCGCUGAACUUAA